AUUGAACGCUGGCGGCAGGCUUAACACAUGCAAGUCGAGCGAGCGGCGGACGGGUGAGUAAUGUCUGGGAAACUGCCUGAUGGAGGGGGAUACCUACUGGAACCGGUAGCUAAUACCGCAUACCAUCAGAUGUGCCCAGAUGGGAUUAGCUAGUAGGUGGGGUAAUGGCUCACCUAGGCGACGAUCCCUAGCUGGUCUGAGAGGAUGACCAGCCACGCUGGAACUGAGAAACGAUACAGACUCCUACGGGAGGCAGCAGUGGGAAAUAUUCCACAAGGGGCGCAAGCCUGAUGCAGCCAUGCCGCGUGUGUGAAAAGGGCCUGCGGGUUGUAAAGCACUUUCGGCGAGGAGGCGUUACUCGCAGAAGAAGCACCGGCUAACUCCGUGCCAGCAGCCGCGGUAAUUC
rnacentral:rRNA from 1 species